rnacentral:rRNA from 1 species
GAAGUUAAGCAACGUCGGGCGCGGUCAGUACUUGGAUGGGUGACCGCCUGGGAACACCGCGUGAUGUUGGCU